AUUAGUGGCGAACGGGUGAGUAACACGUGGGCAAUCUGCCCUUCACUCUGGGACAAGCCCUGGAAACGGGGUCUAAUACCGGAUAACACUCUGUCCUGCAUGGGAGGGGGUUAAAAGCUCCGGCGGUGAAGGAUGAGCCCGCGGCCUAUCAGCUUGUUGGUGGGGUAAUGGCCUACCAAGGCGACGACGGGUAGCCGGCCUGAGAGGGCGACCGGCCACACUGGGACUGAGACACGGCCCAGACUCCUACGGGAGGCAGCAGUGGGGAAUAUUGCACAAUGGGCGAAAGCCUGAUGCAGCGACGCCGCGUGAGGGAUGACGGCCUUCGGGUUGUAAACCUCUUUCAGCAGGGAAGAAGCGAAAGUGACGGUACCUGCAGAAGAAGCACCGGCUAACUACGUGCCAGCAGCCGCGGUAAUACGUAGGGUGCGAGCGUUGUCCGGAAUUAUUGGGCGUAAAGAGCUCGUAGGCGGCUUGUCACGUCGGAUGUGAAAGCUCGGGGCUUAACCUCGGGUCUGCAUUCGAUACGGGCUAGCUAGAGUGUGGUAGGGGAGAUCGGAAUUCCUGGUGUAGCGGUGAAAUGCGCAGAUAUCAGGAGGAACACCGGUGGCGAAGGCGGAUCUCUGGGCCAUUACUGACGCUGAGGAGCGAAAGCGUGGGGAGCGAACAGGAUUAGAUACCCUGGUAGUCCACGCCGUAAACGUUGGGGAACUAGGUGUUGGCGACAUUUCACGUCGUCGGUGCCGCAGCUAACGCCUUAAGUUUCCCGCCUGGGGAGUACGGCCGCAAGGCUAAAAAUCAAAGGAAUUGACGGGGGCCCGCACCAGCAGCGGAGCAUGUGGCUUAAUUUCGACGCAACGCGAAGAACCUUACCAAGGCUUGACAUAUACCGGAAAGCAUCAGAGAUGGUGCCCCCCUUGUGGUCGGUAUACAGGUGGUGCAUGGCUGUCGUCAGCUCGUGUCGUGAGAUGUUGGGUUAAGUCCCGCAACGAGCGCAACCCUUGUUCUGUGUUGCCAGCAUGCCCUUCGGGGUGAUGGGGACUCACAGGAGACUGCCGGGGUCAACUCGGAGGAAGGUGGGGACGACGUCAAGUCAUCAUGCCCCUUAUGUCUUGGGCUGCACACGUGCUACAAUGGCCGGUACAAUGAGCUGCGAUGCCGCGAGGUGGAGCGAAUCUCAAAAAGCCGGUCUCAGUUCGGAUUGGGGUCUGCAACUCGACCCCAUGAAGUCGGAGUUGCUAGUAAUCGCAGAUCAGCAUUGCUGCGGUGAAUACGUUCCCGGGCCUUGUACACACCGCCCGUCACGUCACGAAAGUCGGUAACACCCGAAGCCGGUGGCCCAACCCCUUGUGGAAGGAAGCUGUCAAAGGUGGAACUGGCAAUGGGAACAAAUUCUUACCAAGG
rnacentral:rRNA from 1 species